AACGAACGCUGGCGGCAUGCCUAACACAUGCAAGUCGAACGAGAUCCUUCGGGGUCUAGUGGCGCACGGGUGCGUAACGCGUGGGAAUCUGCCCUUAGGUUCGGAAUAACAGUUAGAAAUGACUGCUAAUACCGGAUGAUGACGUUAAGUCCAAAGAUUUAUCGCCUGAGGAUGAGCCCGCGUAGGAUUAGCUAGUUGGUGUGGUAAAGGCGCACCAAGGCGACGAUCCUUAGCUGGUCUGAGAGGAUGAUCAGCCACACUGGGACUGAGACACGGCCCAGACUCCUACGGGAGGCAGCAGUGGGGAAUAUUGGACAAUGGGCGCAAGCCUGAUCCAGCAAUGCCGGGUGAGUGAUGAAGGCCUUAGGGUUGUAAAGCUCUUUUACCCGGGAUGAUAAUGACAGUACCGGGAGAAUAAGCCCCGGCUAACUCCGUG
rnacentral:rRNA from 1 species